GCCUCCUUAGCUCAGUGGUAGAGCACUGGUCUCGUAAACCAGGGUCGUGAGUUCAAACCCACAGGGGGCA